GGGGUCCCAUUGGGUUCCGAGGGCCGCCUGG
rnacentral:piRNA from 1 species